AUGGUGGAGUUCAAGAACCUGCGAGGAGGAGGCAGGGCACCAAGUAGGAUCGCAACCCUGGACUUGAGGAGAGCAAACUUUGGCCUCUUCAGGGACCUACUUGGAGGAAUUGCAUGGGUUAGGGCCCUAGAAGGAAGGGGCGUUCAAGAGAGCUGGUUAAUACUCAAACAUCACUUCCUCCAGGCUCAAGAUCGGAGCAUCCCUAUGAGUAAGAAGUCAAGCAAAGGAGGUAGGAGACCUGCAUGGAUGAGCAAGGAGCUCCUGGCAAAACUCAACCAGAAAAAGGAAGUACAGAGAAUGUGGAAAGGGGGACAGGCCACUUGGGAGGAAUAUGGGAACGUUGUCAGAGUAUGCAGGGAUGCGACGAGGAAGGCUAAGGCCCAUUUGGAAUUAAAUCUGGCAAGAGAUUUCAAGGACAACAAGAAGGGCUUCUUCAAAUGCAUCAGUAGCAAAAGGAAGACUAGGGAAAAUGUGGGCCCAUUGCUGAAUGGGGUGGGUGCCCUGGUGAUAAAGGAUGCAGAGAAGGCAGAGUUACUGAAUGCUGCCUUUGCUUCGGUCUUUACUGCUCAGGCCAGCCCUCAGGAAUCCCAGACCCUGGAGACAAGAGAGAAAGUCUGGAGAAAGGAAGACUUUCCCUUGGUCGAGGAGGAGUGGGUUAGAGAUCAUUUAAGCAAACUUGACACCCACAAAUCCAUGGGCCCUGAUGGGAUGCACCCACGAGUGCUGAGGGAGCUGGUGGAUGUUAUUGCUAGGCCACUCUCCAUCAUCUUUGAAAGGUCAUGGAGAACAGGAGAGGUGCCUGAAGACUGGAAGAAAGCCAAUGUCACCCCAGUCUUCACAAAGGGCAAGAAGGAGGACCCAGGAAACUACAGGCCAGUCAGCCUCAGCUCCAUCCCUGCAAAGGUGAUGGAGCAGCUCAUGCUGGAAGCCAUCUCCAAGCAUGUGGAGGACAAGAAGGUGAUCAGGAGUAGUCAGCAUGGCUUCACCAAGGUGAAAUCAUGCUUAACCAACCUGAUAGCCUUCUCUGAUGGAAUGACUGGCUGGGUGGAUGAGGGGAGAGCAGUGGGUGUUGUCUCCCUUGACUUCAGCAAGGCUUUUGACACUGUCUCCCAUAACAUCCUCAUAGGUAAGCUCAGGAAGUGUGGGUUAGAUGAGUGGGCAGUGAGGUGGCUUGAGAACUGGCUGUAUGGCAGAGCUCAGAGGGUUGUGAUCAGUGGCACAGAGUCUAGUUGGAGGCCUGUAGCUAGCAGUGUCCCCAGGGGUCAGUACUGGGUCCAGCAUUGUUCACCUUCUUUAUCAAUGACUUGGAUGAAGGGACAAGUUUGCUGA
rnacentral:lncRNA from 1 species